CCCUGUGAUGCAGCUGGAAUUCUGUUCUGGGAGGCAGCGGAAGAAAGGAAUUUCCAGAUAUCUGACACCAUCUUUUAAGGAGAAGAGAGAAGCUGAAGGGUAACACUAGAACCCUCCAGUGCCCCAGCAUGAGGUUUUCAUCGCAAUCAAGGAUGGCUGUUUUAAGGCCUGAAGACACUUCUAGAGCCCUCCUCUGAGUCACCAACCUCCAUGUUUCUGCCAGAAAAAGCUGUUGUAUCACAUCCAGAGCCAGCAGGAAAAUGACCAACAGCUUCAUACUUUAUAUACAUCACCUGCAAGACAGCCAUGGAACCAUACAGAGAUAGGGUAGCUGCAGAGGACAAUCACUCCUCCAAGGAGACCCAUCUAUAUCAGUCUUGUGCAACAGAUGACGUGUUUAAGGAUGUGGAUCAAGGCUGAAGGGAUUCCAAGGUUACAUUCCACCCUUUGCAAAAGGUACCCACAGCGUCUUGGAUAAAGCUUUGAACCUCCCUGUCACACUUCACCUUGUGAAACGCAAAGAUUGCUUCUGCCUUUAGUCGUCUUGUCUGUAGGGACAGGAAACACUUCAGUGCAAGUGCUCUAUGGAGAGGCCCCAGUUGUGUUUGGGAUUGGUAUUACACCAGCAUUUAUUGCAAACGUAAUUAGAAAGGUGAGUCUUAAAAAGUCACAAAAGGCACAUUUGAACCCCACUCUUCUCCUUCGAGGGACAAACCAAGGAAUGUAAUCAAGUAUUUGGUAG